GAGGAUCCUAAGUGGGCUCUUCACUGACAGUGGCAAGCCCAGUGUGGGGCUUGAACUCAUGUACUGUGAGAUCAUGACCUGAGCUGGAGUCGGACUCUCAACCAACUGAGCUGCCCAGGUGCCCCGUCAAUCCACUACUUUUACUAUAUAUUUUUCUUUACCUUUGAAAUUUUUACUUUUAUGUUUUCUUGUUAUUAGUUGUUGACUUUUCAUGUUAAAGAAGUCACUUUAACAUUUCUUUUAAGGCCAGUUUAGUGGUGAUGAACUCCUUUAGCUUUUGCUUAUCUAGGAAACUCUUUAUUUUCCCUUCAAUUCUGGAUGAUGAUCUUGCUGGUAGAGUAUUCUUGGCUGGAAGUUUUUUUCUUUUAGCAUUUUGAAUAUGUCAUGUCACUUGCUUCUAGCCUGAAAAGUUUCUGUUGAAAAUCAGCAGAUAGUCUUAUGGAGAUUCCAUUGUAUCUAAAAGUUGCUUUUCUCUUGCUGCUUUUAAGAUUCUCUAUCUUUUGCUUUUGACAUUUUAAUUAUAUUUCUUGGUGUGAAUGUCUUUGGGUUUAUCUUAUUCAGAACUCUCUGUGUUUUCUGAAUCUGGAUUUCUCUUUCCUUCCUCAGGUUAGGGAAGUUUUCAACCUUUAUUUUUUCAAAUAAGUUUUCUGCCUUGUUCUCUCUUCUCCUCUGACCCCUAUAAUGUAAUUUUAUUCUGCUUGAUGUUAUUCCAUUGAUCCCUUAAGCUAUCUUUACUUUUUAGAAUUAUUUUUUUCUUUCUGUGGCUUUGUUUCAGUGAGGUCCAUGGCCCUGUUUUCCAGGUUGCUGAUUCAUUCUUCUGCUUCAUCUAGUCUGCUGUUAAACUCCUCUUGUGUAUUUUUUCAGUUUAGUUAUUGCAUUCUUUAGCUCUGUGACUUUUGUUUGGUACUUUCUUGUAUUUUUUUUAUUUUUUUGUUGAAGUUCUCAUUGUAUUCAUUCUUCUGAAUUUGGUGACAAUCUUCAUGGCCAUUGCUUUGAACUCUUCAUCAGGCAGUGGGAGAGUUCCGAGGGUGCAGCUCAGGUGUGGCUUUAGUGAUAUUGGGGAAGAGUACUUGUGGCAGGGCAUGCUGGCAGCUUUAGAGAUAUAGGAGAAGAGCAUUGGGAUGGGGCAUACUGGCAGCUUUAGCAAGGCUGUAUCCAUGCACACCCACCUGAGCUAGCAAGGUAGAGGGAGAGUGCAAUAAUGGUGCUCACCAGUGCCUCUGUCCCUAAAGAACCCCACCUGGUUCCUGCCCCUCUGGCAGAUGUUUUAUGACUAGAAAAUGAAUCUCCUUCAUGUGUUAUCCAGUUACCUUUCAAACUACUGCCUUUGUGCUGAUCCUAGGAUGAACAAAUCCAUAUAUAAGCCACUCAAGAUGAGUAUCUCAGAUUCCCAUAGACCCCUUGGAUCCUUUGGACAUAAGCCCUGCUUAUUUUCAAAGCUAGACAUUUUGGAAGGCUCAUCUUUCUGGUGCAGGUCGCAAGGUUUGGUGUGCCUGAUGUGGGGAAUGAUGCUCUUACUCCUUAGGGAAAGUCUCUGGACCUGUGAGAUUCACCACCCCUCCACCCCCUGCCCCAUUGUGGUUUGCUAUGCUAGGGGUGGAGUUUUGGGCAAGACUCUGUCUUUCUGUAUCUUCUACCCAUCUUGAUGUGGUUCUUUUAUCCCUUUUUGUGGAGGGGUUUGUUCAGCUAAGUUUUCAGUUCUUUCUCAGCAGGAAUUAUUCCAUAUAUAGCUGUAGAUUUGGUGUAAGUGGAAGAGGUAGGUUCAGAAUCUUCCUAGCUGCCAUCUUGGACCUCCUCCAACUCCAGUUAGUUUUGAUAGAAUAUAAAACUCAGUGGACUGUGUACUUCAAAGAAGAAAUUUAUUUCACAUACAUGAUUUUGGAAACAAUCAAAUGGAAGGAAAUACCUUCAUUUAAUUUAGAUCCAGAAAUUUGGUUUGUUCAACAAUUGUUCUGCAAGAUGUUACUAUAAAUGAUCUGUCCCUUUUGUGUCCCUGAAAUCAGAGUAAACCUUUGAAAAUUUCUUUUGAUUUAUGUUCUGCUAUCAAACUUGAAACAGCAUGGCAAGAGAGCUUACUUUUUGUUAAAGCAUUUAAUCUCUUUUCUGGUAUUUGGUUUCUUUAGGUGAUGUUUAUAGUUUCUGCUUAAUUUCAGCUUGUUUUUAAGGACCUGAAUUACUUUUUAUUGUCAUUAAUAUUGGAUUGUCAAAAAACAUUCAUUGGGAGUGCUGCAGAAUUAAUAGUAAAAAAGAAAAUACAUAAAGAAUAUGGAAUACUAAUAGGCAGACUUGUAGAAGUAGGAUCUUUAAUCCCUCAGCAUAUUUUGCAUACAGUGUUAGAAAUUCUACCUUUUGUUGCAACUCAAGGAUUGGGUAUAGAAGGGAUCCUAAGAAGUGCUUUGUAUGCAUCAUCUCAUGCAAGUCUUCCCACAGCCUGCAAGGAGACUUUAUCAUUUCCUUUUAACAGACAAGAAACUCAUUCCUCAAGGUUUGGGAAUUUCAAAGCAAGGUCACAGAAAUUGUAAGAGGCAAAGACCACAUGAGACCAGGUUUAAUUGACUUGAAAGCCCGCACUUUGAACUACUUGUCACCCACUUUCUACUUUAUCUUCUGAAAUGUAUCUUUGACUUUUUCCUUUUUUCUCCUGUUUGCCUAAGGCAUUCUGACUCCUUGAUCGUGGCAGUUUCUACCAGUCCUAAAAUAGCUGAGUGAUUUUUAGGAAAUUUUGGCCUUUUGUGGCUGCAUCUUGGGAUGAGGCCAACAUGUGCCUAAUCAACAAAAGCCAUAGUGAUAGUCCUGUCCACCAUGCUGUAGAUUUCUGUCUCAUCCACAAAGUCAGGAUUUUGCCCUUUUCUUCUCUGCUCUUCUUUGAUGGAUUUGAAAACUUCUUGGGGAAGUCAUUUUCCUUUGUUGUUUCUUUUUUAACAAAAUGCUGAUUUACAGUUAUUCACUCUUUAGGGUACUGGAAGGUAAAGCAGAUAGUAAUUAGUAACAAUUUGUUUUUAGGUGAGCUUCUUCUAAUAGUGUCUAUCCCUAUUAUUGUUUUGGAAUUGUCAAAUAAUUACGAGAUUAUAGAAUGCAUUAAUACAUUACUAGGAAAUCGGUAUUCAGGUAUUUUCAUGGAGCAGGCUAAAUAUACUGAUUUGUAAAUAUUAAUAGCCUGAAACCAAGCAGCUGGAUUUAAAAGUAAUUAAUAAUGUAGAUUCAUGGGAUAUUUAGAACGGAAAGAGAUUAUGUAAAAUUCUUUUGUAGUUAGAGAUACACAAGGCCGUACUGAUUAGUACAUUUAGCUCCUGGCUAUGGUUGAGUUCAUUUAUUUGCAUAUUAGCAUAACACAAUUGGAAAAAAAAUUGUUAUGUAAUACUGCAGUAUAUGAGUAUUAAUAGAACAAGAUGUGGUCUUCCAAGCACUACUUUUGAGAAUUUGUUUUUUGCUAUAGAUAGCUGCAUGUGUACGCAUGCUAUACUUGUGUAUGCAUAUACUCUGAAGACUCUGUUUAUAAAUAGUAACGAUUAAGAGCAAAUCAAAUAAUGUAGUGGUAGGUUGACUCGAGUCCUGUCUUGUGAGAGACUGACGGGUAGCAGGUGUUGCUCUCUAAAUUGAAAAUGCCCAGGAAGGGGUGGGCUCUUUUUUUAUGAGGAUUGCUGAUGAAGCCUCUAUUGCUCUUGACCAAUUAGUGUGGCCACAGAGGGAUAAGUGACCUCAUUUGCAGUUACCAUUAGAAUCACAAGCCAUAUGACUCUCUCCAUAUGGUUUCCUGCUAUCUUUUAUUUUUCAUCUUCCUUCUGAGCUCUGAUAUCCUGUGGGCAUAGUAGAUGUGAUUUUUCAAAUAGCUAAUAUGGUUUAAUGUUUAUUAUUGAAGGAAAUGCAGUGAUUAACUUAGAUUUUUACUUCUACCAAUCUGUGCUAAUAGUCCAUAUAAAUAUCUAAAGAAUUAUUCAGAUGUUUCAUAUUGGAACUAAUAGAAUUCCUGAUACAAUGCCAGUUUUAAGGAUGUGUUUAUCUUUGGAGUUUUUGAUGGUUUGUUGAAAGAGAUCUGUUCAAGGCUUUCUCUAAACAUAUUUCCGUAAAUUUUUUAUAUAUUAAAAAAUUUUUUAAAGUAGAAUCGCUGUGACAUAGGAUAUGUACGUUUAGCUUUAGUAGAUAUUAUUAUGUGAUUUUUCACCCACCAGGUUCUGGUUGCUCUAAAUGCUUUCUUAACACUUAGUAUGGUUAUAUAAUAGUACCUUCCUGUGGCUUUUAGGUUGCAUUUCCCUGAUAAUUAAUGAUGUUGAACACCCUUUCAUAUGUUUUCUUCAUCAUAUGGAUAUUCUCCUUUGUUACAUGCCCAUUUAAAAAAUUGGCCUUUUCUCUUUUAAAACAUUGUAGGACUUCUUUACAUUUUCUGGAUAUAUCUUUUGUAUGAUAUGUAUAUUUAAAAUGUCUUCUAGUAUGUGAGUUGUAUUUUUCCUGUCUUAAAGGGUGUCUUUUUAUUGAAUACAAUUCUUAAUUUUAGUGAAUCCAAUUUAUCAGUAUUUUCCUUUAUGGUUAUUAUUUUUGUGUCAUGUUUAAGAAACCUUUACUUAGCUUAAGACCAUGUAGGUAUUCAUUUAUUUAAUGUCUAGAACCUUUAUUUUCACAGCUACAUCUACAAUAUAUCUGGAAUUUAUUUUUCUGUAUGGUGGGAGAUAGGGGUCAAGAUUUUCUUUCCAUAUAAAUAUCCAUUUAAUUAAUUCAGCACCAUUUAUUUGAAAAUAUCAUUUCCAGGGGCACCUGGGUGGCUCAGUUGGUUGAGUGUCCAACUUCAGCUCAGGUCAUGAUCUCAUGGUUCAUGGGUUCGAGCCCCACAUCGGGCUCUGUGCUGACAGCUCAGAGCCUGCAGCCUGUUUCAGAUUGUCAUUAAUUAUUAUUGUCUGCCCCUCCCCCCACUUAUGCUCUGUCUCUAAAAUAAAUAAACAUUAAAAAAAAUUAAAAAAGAAAAUAUCAUUUCACCUCACUGCAUUGCAUUGGCCCUUUGUCAUAAAUCAAGAGGCUGUGUAUGUGAGAGUCUGUUUCUGGAGUCUAUUUUGUUAUUUCGGUUUAUUUGCCUAUCCUUCUGUUCAUACCACACUGUCUUUCUUACUAGUUAUAUAGCAAGGUAUAUACCCAAAUGUACUAGAUUGAAAGAUAUGUACAAGAAUGCUUAUAUAGCAGCAUUAACUGUAACAGCCCCAAACUCAAAAUGCCCAUCUUGUAAAAUAGCAUAUCAUAUAAUGGAAUACUAUAAAGAAAAAAAACAGAAAGAAAGAACAAAAUGAACAGAUAACUGCUACAUGUGCCACGCCAGUGUCUCAAGCAUAAUGUUCAGGGAAAGACACCAGAGGUAAAGCAAUACGUAUCGUAUGAUUCCAUUUAUAUAAGUGCAAAAACAGGCAGACUAAUUUGUGAUGAUAAAAAUCAGAAUAGUGGUUACAUUUGAGGCUAAUGACUGGUGGACGGGGGGGGGGGACCAAUAAUAAUUUUGGUGCUGGGUGACAGUAAUUUUUGGCUGCUGGAUCUGGGGAUGGUUUUGAGAGUGGGCAUGUCGUAAGAAUCCAUUGAAUUGUAUACACUCAUGAUAUUUCUGGGGGUACAUCAUACUUCAAUAAAUAAGUUGAUUUGAACAAGUCCAUUGUGAAAAUUAAUCACAGUCAGGUGCUUUAUUGGCUACUCCACUCUGCAGUAGGUGACAGACAGUGCCUUUCACAGUGUGCUGCUGUCUGUUGAUCAAUACGUGAAAUGUCUUUUAGCUGCAGUGGAACGUUUGUGCUGUGGUAGGACCCGGCGGAGUCCUGAGCUGAGUGAUGGCGCAGAGGGCAGGUAGAGGGAGGUGCAGCCUGCUGGAGUAAUGUGAAGACCGUUUCUUCAUGGACUGUAUCGAGGGCACAUAGGUCAUGGGACCUGGGUGGGAAGGUGACUCCGUGGCGAAGGGCGUCCUGGUCACUGUAGUCAGUUUUACGCUACUGUGUUUGCUGGGGAUAUGCAUGACUUGUUGGUGUCGUGUUGAGCAUCUUAAUCCGUUCAGGUGCGCUCAGAAGGUUUAAUAUUCGAAAGUGUGCCACUCAUACAAAACUUUGAGAACCACUCAUUUGUGGAGCACCUGUUCUCUGCAUGACAGUUUUCUAGAGUGCGCUUUUUGGUCUCAAAAGCAGUUAGCAAACAAAAACCAGUUAUCCAGGUCUUUAAGACAAAAGUGAGAGUUGUUUGAUUACCUCUGAAUGCCUAGACUCCCAGACGGUCAGCAUACGGUUUUAGCUCUACUGAACACUUAUCUUGUCCCAUCUGACAAUUCUUCCUGGUGGGGAAGACACCAAAUCUUUAGAUGGGUCAUUUUAGGACACCAGAAUUAAAUCUAAUCUCUAACACUAAUAAUGUGUAGAUCUACUCAAGUCCAAUUAAAUUAGACCUUUGGGGGGGUUUCCUAAAGUGCCCUGGGAGAUUUUAAGGUAUAGCUAGGGUUAAGAACGGCUCUGAAGGCUUUCUCCUAUAUUAGGUCUUCACUGCAUUUAGCUCUGUUACAUAUGAGAGAACAGGCAGCUCCAGGAUUACACAGUGACAGGCUAGUGGUGAUCCUGUGGUUGGUGGGGGACAGGGGUAGGGCAAAACCUUCAGCUAUCUCACAGGAGCUUUCCUCUAAGGAGUUGAGCUGCCCUUUUUCUGAGGGGAUACAAAACACCGAAGAAGAGGAAAAACUCCUUAGUCAAAUCUGGAGAGACAGAUUUUCAAGUACAAAAAUGAUGGUCUACACUGUACUCAUGAUUGUACCAUAAGAAUGUAUUUUUGAUCCAAGUAAAGGAGUAUGUUGUGUCAGUUCCCCCAAAAGGCCUGGGCUGGUUAUUCGGAGCCUUGAUCUGCCUGGAUUAAUCAUUACUGUGUGGCACUGCUUCCUCAUCCAUCUCUUGGCUCUCUUCUAUCCCUCAUAAGACAAAGGACAUCGGCGCACCUGUGACAUUCUGCAUGCGGAGGGAGAACCUCCCCGCUGGGAAUAUUUUUUAGGAAGAAUUAAUUGGACUGAGACAUGAGCACUAUUUCUAGAGAUAGGUGAUUGUACAUUUCAGAUUUUGCUGAAAGGAGUCUUUGCAUUUCCUUUAACCACCUCAUCUUGUGUUUAGGUGGCAACGUGGUAAAAAUCCUUUUUACUCACGGAAGAUGAUAAAUCGACACUUGGGAGACAGGUAUCUAUUUGUACGUGUAAUUUACGCUGGGGGGAAGAGAACCGAUCCAGUGACACUUCAGCACCCCCCGUUGUGGCGGGCUGACAGUCUGGGCUGGUAUGUCAUGACCUUUGGGUGAACGUCUACUUUCUGAAUGCUGUGGCAUUUUUCUCACCACACAGCCCCAUGCGGUUAAGAAGAAUGGCCGUUGAACUCCCAGAGCAUCUGUAAAAUAUAUUUUAUUGGCUGCAAAGCGGUAACACGAAAAUAUCCAGUGUCCCAUAGUUAUGGCCUUGAGUACCCACCAAGUAACUUUACUCCUUAGCUUGGUUGCUCUGUUAGCACAUCAUCACCAUUCACAUUUAUUCUUUCAGGCCAGGUUUUUUUCUCUUCCACAUUGGCAUGGGUGGAUCUUCCGGCAGAGGAGCUUGUGUCUGCUCCUCCUGGGCAGGCGCUGCAGAAGAGGUCUGGUACGAGGGCCGAGUCUCUGGGGACUCCAGUCUCUGGAGGCGGGAGGAGCACCCACAGUCUGGCAGCAGAAGAGUGUUAUGGUGCCUCCUGAUCACGAUGAGGGCCUGCUUAUUAACACAUACAAUUUGAUGGAGCAGUUUAAUUUACUUCUUUAUAAAUGGGAAGAACAGUAGAAAUGAACUUUAACAUUCUUUGGGGGGAAAGCCUAUAAUCUUUUUGUGAACAUUUGGUACUCUGUAAUAUUUACCAAGCAAAGAAUCUGUAAGGAAAAAAUUCUUUCCUACGGCAUAAUUAGCCAGAUCUUCUUACCCAUCUUUGUUAGGGAAGAAAGUAUUGUUGAAGAAUAUUUUUAAAUAGUUAAAUAGCCCUUUUGUCCCAAAGAAUAGCUGCCAUUGAUGAACGCUAUCCCGAGGGGCCUGGAAACAAGACAGUAAAACAGAGUGCGAGAAGCAGGGCAUAUGGGCCUCUGCUGGGCUCCUUACUUCAAAGUAGAUGAAAAGUGUCCUUUCUGGGGCAGCGCCCUGACCCCCUGCAUUUAUCCUGCUGUCCUCAUUGUUACCAGAUAGCAAGGCAAAAAAGAGGAAGAUGGCUUAGAAGAUGUCACCCAAUAACAGGGUGUGAGAAAGCUCCUGUCCCCAGAGAGAAUUCGGCAGCUCCUGGGCCCACUAUUCCUCGGAACACCAGGGGCCCCUGGAUCCAUUAGUCAUGCUCCAAAAGAGCACUUUCAGCCUGCUCCACACCAGGCUAUAGCUAGGAAGAGAUGUCAUUGCACAGCAAGUUGGAGGAGAUCUCUUGUGGCUAGAGGUGCCACCCAACUAUGUGAGGGUAGGAAUGGGGGUGGGGUGGGUGCUGGAAACAGUAUCUCGGCGGGCCCUUAAUCCACUGGUGGCACCCAGUGGUGUGCCAGGGACACUUGGGCACAUUUAUCAGGAGGCUGUGUUUUAAAGGUGAUGGGGAGGAGAACAGAGGUGUAAGAAAAGGUACGGUCAGCUCUGGGGUGCUCUGCCUCUAUUGUUGUCAAUGGGAUGCCCUCCAUAAACAGCUCCAGGAGCUAAUUCACGUGAGUGGUCAAUUGAAGCUUGGCCCCAAGACGUGUCAUGGAGCUGUGGCCCCUGCGCAAAUGAGAACAGUAGACAGGUUAGCCUGGCUUGUGGAUGUGAGAACUGGACAAGAGGGAGCAUCUUGAGAGUGAGAGGAACAGUCAAGCAACUGCAUUUGCAAGAAGGCUAAUUUCAUAUGUAGAGAGGACAGCUAAUCUAGCCUUAGGCUCUUCUGCUGUCUAAAUAGAGCGGUCCCCUGGGGUUAGGUUUAAAACCAACAAGAGAAGAGCCUCAAGUAGGUUGGGAGGCUGGAUUCCCCUAGUUUUCCUGGAGAGGCUCAAAUGCGAGAUGCGGACUCCAGCCCCAGCAGUCAGGAAGCUGGCCUUAGAGACCAGGGGCUGCCGGUCCAGAGUUAAGGGCUCUGAUUUAGGGUCUGUGCCCCUGUGUCAUUGAAAGGACUCUGCUUUCUCCUCUAUUUGCCGUAGAAAUACGAGACUUCUUGCCUGCCAGAUUUCUUCCAUGUCUUUUGGUCACCUGGGUAAAAGUACUUGUUGCAUGACUGAUGUGGUUUUUAAAAAUGUUUACUUAUUUUUGAGAGAGAGUGACUGGGGCAGAGGCAGAGAGAGAGGGAGACUGAGAAUCCCAAGCAGGCUCUGUUCUGUCAGCACAGAGUCCCAAUGCGGAGCUUGAUCUCACAAACUGUGAGAUCAUGACCUGAACUGAAAUCAAGAGUCAGAUGUUCAACCGACUGAGCCACCCAGGCACUCCCCCACUUUUUUAAAGAUUUUUUUUUUCCCCAUUGAUUUCUUUCCUGAUGCUUUCAAAUUAGUUUCUGUGAAGAUUUUUGUGUGUAUGUGUUCCAAGAUAUUACUAAGACUUUGCUGCAGGUGAGUACCAGUGGGAUAGAAUGAUGCUAUGUAUGGUCUGGAAGUCGCCACUGGAGUGACUCUCACGUUACAGAACUAGUUUUGUCCCCCUUUGGUGGCCACUAAAGCGGGCCUCUCUUGCCUUGUGACGAUGGACAUCUGUCUCGUCUCACACUGGAAAAUGCUAAGGGCAGCAAAGUACAUUGGUUCCCCAGCACUUCAGUUUUACUUUCAUCACUGAAUUUGGUGAGACACGGAACCCCUAAGCCGGUUGUAUAGCCAGGUCCUUGUUAAUGAAAACAUAGAUCCCGCAAAAGCCUGGCGUGCCCAGCUGCAGGGAUGCAGCUGCGUGAGAGGACAGAGCUCCAAAGGCUCAGCCAAGUCGAGUACCAUACGGCCAGGUGGGGGAGGCCUCGCCAGCGGGGGAGGGUGGUGGUGAAGUUUUACUUCGGGGAAGUGUCAGGUUGCUUUUGUGGCUGAGUACAGAAGAGGCAGAACGCUAUUGUAGACAUGGCACUAUGCGCUCAAGUUGCCUGUGUCUCUUCUGAUAUUUUAAAGCAGAUCUUGGCAGGACAGGUCCCUUCAGCCUGCAGCUGGGCGAGCCCCUGGGCCUUCUGCAUUUCAACCACCUGAUGCUUUUCAGUUGUUGUGUGUGUAUGUAUUUUCAAAGAAUUCGUCUUUCGUGAUCUCUUUUUGGAAAGUACAGUGGCCACGGAUAUACUUGAAGUGUAGGAUUGUGGUGGUAAGAAAACCUUGAUCCUGUGAAAGAAGGAGCAUCUGAACACGGGCCAGCUAAUUUGGCUUUGCUUCUGUGCUGAAAAGUCCCAUGUGUCGUGAGCACUGUAGCUCUCCGUGUGCCUGUUUAGUGUCGUCAAGCCUGCCAGCCAGUAAUCCUCCCCUGAAAACAGUUGAUGCACUGACUGCACACAGAGCUGUUGGUUUGGCCAGGCCCGGGGCCGUGACUUUUACUCCUUCCCCUUUUUUGAGAGAUCUUAACAAAAAGUGGGAGCAGACCGUGGAGUGCAUUUGGUUAAUAACACUGAGGACAAAUGUGAGGAGAGUUGUGCGCGAGAGUGUGCAUGCGUGUUUUCAGAAAGGGAAAACCCCGUUUUCGGGGGGGGGAGCUUAUGGAUGGGUCGGCAUAUUUGGUGGUUUUCUGGUUCCCUACAUGUGAGUAAGGUCUGUCUUCCAGUUCGAGGCUUUUCCAUCACUACGAUGGAUGCUGCUGAAACACUGGCAGUGCCUUUGCUCAGUUGCCGUCCUGCAAGUGCUGCGUGGAAGCAGAAAACCAAGUUGAACGGUGCGCUAGAGUCAGUGACACAGCUGUGGCAGCCUUUGUGCGGGCAGAAGCCAGGAGACUCCGAGAACAACAGCAGCACACCUUUGAAGGUGAUUUUGGUUCUGGCAGCCUUGUGUUGAAAUGUGUACUGAACCGCCCUUCGUGGCACAGAUAAGGUCGGCGGUGCCGUCCUUGUCCCAGAAGGCCCAGGGUGUGUGGGCACAGGCUGUGAUGAAAAGUGGAUGGAACCGCAAGAGGUCUGGGGGAUUUUCACACUCAUCGCUCAUGCCUGUGCCAGUCUGCUGGCAAAGUUGGGCUGUGAUUCCACCCGGCAUUACAUGCCUUUCAUCGUUGAAACAAAAACUAGAAGUCGAAGCUGCUUGAAUGUUGGAAGACCAGGAUCCAAUGUCAGCUUCCUAUCAAACCAAAGUAGCUGCCCUCUAAGUGCAACUUUCUGGUAAUAUCCGGUGUACUUUUUGUUUUAUCUGCACUAUUUAGAUUUCUUUUAUUUUUUUUUUCAGAAGCAACCAGUUAAUUUUUGCAUUUAAAGUGGGAGUGAAAGUAUUAUUUACAACAAUUUUAAAUCUUCUAUGUAUGAGAAAUGGGUUUCCAGUGAUGGAAUUAAUUGCAUGCAGAAUUGGGUGGGUACGUUUCUGAGAAGUUUUUGUCAGAUUUCCAAAGGCAUCUGAAAUUUAAAAAGCAACCAAACAACUGAUUUGGAACAAAGCUGUGCUAUUGUAGCAGCCCCAGCUUGCUGUUUAAGUAUCCUCAGAAUAUUAACAGUAUACAGGAUCCCAUUAGUUCUGUGCCCCAUCCUCAGGGGCAACUGGAGGAAGGAAGGUGAUGGGAAGGAAGAGGUCCCUACAAAUGGAGUAGUUGCUGACAGGUGCCCAUCACCCUCCACGCCCAGCAAAGGUACCACUAACCAUCUUCUACUUUGAGGAGCAUAAUCCAUAUCUACACAGAGAGGCUUCUGGGACAGGAAGGACUUACGGUUGACCCUUGAACAAUGCAGGGGUUAGGGACACAGAUUCCAGUGCAGUCAAAAAUCCAUGUAUAACUUUUGACUCACCCCAGAACUUAACUACUAAUAGCUUACUGUUGACCAGAAGUCUUACUGAUAACAUAAACAGUUGAUUAACACAUAUUUUGUAUGUUGUAUGUAUUCUGUACUAUUAUAAUAAAGGAAGCUAGAGAAAAGAUGUUAUGUAAAUCAUAAGGAAGAGAAAAUACGUUUAUAGUACUCUAUGUAUUGAAAAAAUUGCAUAUAAGUGGGCUUGUGCGGUUCAAACCCAUGUUGCUCAAGGGUUAAGAAUGUAUCUAGCAACAUUGCAUAUGGACUUUCAUGGUCCUAGGCCCUUUUCUCUUUGUGGUCUCCUUCCUCUAUUUAAAAAUCAAAUAAAAUUAUUACAACUAUGCUGGUGUAAAGACAAAAUUAUUAAUAUUACAUAGUAAAACAUUCACCCUGAUAGUUCUUUUUUUCCUUCUGAUUUUAAAAGAAAUUCAGACAUUUUUGUGGGCCCCUAAAAACAUUGUGGGCCUUAAACAUUGUGUCUACUGUCCAAUGGAUAAUUUGGCCCUGCCUGAUGUGUGUAGACAAUCCCCUCAUUUUCUUUCUAAAAUGUAUGAAGAAGUGGAACAUACAGAUAGUUGUUCUUUUUAUUUCCAAUCUAUUAUUCUUGAGUAAAGUUGAGUUUUUGAGCAUACUGCGAAUUUAAAUUUUGGAGAGAUUUUUGCAAUUCUUUGCAAUUUGUUAAUAUGUAAAUUGUAUCUUCAUUUUAGAUUUUAUUGUACUGUUAAUUUUUGCAAAUAAGUUCAUUUUCAAAACUUUAACAAAAUUUGAGUUUUAAAAUGAAAAAUUUACUCUGUUAACACCAGUAAUUUAUAUUUGAGAGGAUGUACUCUUUUGAGUAUAUGCAAUGGGAAUAUUUAGGCAGUCUUUCUAGUUUAUGUCGUGAUUAUAUAAUAGUUUUUACAUAAUAAAUUAUUUUCUCAAAUAAAUUAGUUUUACCUAGGAACUUAUAUAAUGUCAUUUCCUGAUCUGAGGUGUUUUUUUAUGAAUUCUUUGAGUACAAAUCUACUUUAAAAGAUAGCAGGCAAUAAUUUGUGACUUGGAAAUUUCAGAGUGGCCAGGGAAAGCAUGCUCAAAAUAGAAACUGUGUUUAUUUACUCUCUGCUCCACCCGGUCUAAAAUACAGCCAUGUGGUUGCAGGCUUGGGGUGGCUGAUGAUGCCUUGCAGGGUGUUUUUUUCUUUUUUUUCCUGUCACAGAGUUGAAGAAAGAGAUCAUCCUUUUAACUUUUGAUUCCUGUUUCCUUUUUUUGGUAACUCAGAUGAAUUAUUUUCACAUGCUGUUAUCUGUCAACAAAUGAGUUUGACCAUGUUAGUUUAGUUUUUGGUUCCUUAUCAUCUUUCUCUUUAUUUAUGUGUUUAAGCUCUGUUUCAUGAAAGGAAAUUUGAAAUUGUGGGUUUGCUAACAAUUAUACCUUAGAAAUCUGUUGGUUUACAACAGAGUUUUCCGGGGUGCCUGGGUGAAGUGUCUGACUCUUGAUUUCAGCUCAGGUCAUGAUCUCAUGGUUCGUGAGUUUGAGCCCCACAUCAGGCUCUGCACUCUCUCCCCUGCUCUCUCUGCCCCUCCUCUGCUUGCCCUCUCUGUCUCUCUCUCUCUAAAAAUAAAUAAAAAUAAUUUAAAGAAAUUACUAAAUUUUCUCGUGUCUUUCAUGAUAGUCUAAAAAGAUAGCUGCUUUAUUUGGUCAUUGUGUUUAAAAGGGCCUAGAGAAUGAGUUUAGUUUGCAUAGAUUUAUCACCUAGGAAAGACACAACGUCGUGGGACUGAGUAUUAACCAGACAAGCCUGACAUUUGUGUCAUGGACCAUGGGAAUCCUGGAGAAGAAGUGCACAGCUUAAUGUAAAGCCGUGACUACCAGAAAGGGAGCCCAGUGAUACCAUCGGUGGAAUAGCCACACACAGUAUUAGGCGCUUGAAGUGUGUGCCACUCUCAAGAUGUUUUCCCCAAAUGUUGUUGCUUUGUUAACUCUACGGCAAGGCAUUAGGGCACCGAUGAUACCCGUUCCAGAGAACACUGCUUCGGAAGGAGUAGUAUGUGGCUUAGGCUUUGGAGUCACCUGCCUUGGUGUGAAUCUAGGGUGGGGUCACCUACUAAACUUCGUUUCCUCUUCUCUAAAAUAGGUAUGAUAACGGAAUAGACUUUACUGGAUUUUUGUGAGAAUUUAUUGAAGACAUAUAUGGAAAACACAACCUUCAUAAGAAUCAGUGACUGCUUUUGUACUCACUUACAGAAUAAUAGGAGAAGAAACUUAACAUUUAAGGAGUCAUGCCCUUCAGGUGGAAUCUGGCUAUUUACUUACCUUUAUCAUGACUCCACAAAAGAAAUGUCAGUUCACUUCAGUGUAUUUCAUUUCAGUUUAUUUCAAAACACAUUUACUGAAUCCUCACUACAUUUUUCUUUCAUUUUAGUGAUAUCUACUAAUUCCAGUAAUUUAUCCCAAAUAAUCUUUAAGCAAAUAGAAGUGAAACCUAAUUUGUGGGUACUAUCAGGUUGUCAUUCUAAUUGUGUAUUUAACUCCCCUCUCCAUUUCCUGGAUUCUGUCUCUAUUCUCUAUGGAAAAUAGACACAAAUAGGAUGGUAUAGUAAACCCUUAUGUCCUCAUCAUCUAGCUUCAGCAGUUAUCAGCUCAUGGCCAAUCUCGUUUCCUCUGUAGUCCUACCCACUUGUCCCCAUCGUGUAUUAUCUUUUUAAAAAAAAAUUUUUUUUUAUGUUUAUUUAUAACUGUGUAUUAUCUUAAAGCAAGUCUCAGCAACCAACACUCUGAAAGCAGUUGGGGGAUUUGGGCAGGGCACCAGUGGCGUCCACUGCUUGGUGAACUUCCGGGCAAAGGGAAUAGUGUGAGCUAAGACCCGUGGAUGGCAUUGCAUAACUUAUUAGUGGGGUGAACAACUUGGCUGUCUUUGAGGCAGGUAGCCUCAGGGAGGAGGCGGUGGGGAUCGAGGCUGCAUCCCAGGUUUUGGUUUGUUAUACAUUUUUGAUGCUAGUCUUUAAAAUAGCAUGCCUAUUCAGAUGAAGAUGGAAUUAAUAAAAAUGUGAUGGUAGCAGAGACCACUGGAAAUAUAUAGUGUAUCGAUUUAUUUUCUGAUAAUGCCUAAAUUGGAAAAUUAUGGUAAUGUGUGAUAAGCAUUGUGGCAUCUAAGUUAGCUGGAUAUUUGAAACAAGGUUAUGUGUCAGCCUUCUUCCUAUUUUUUUAGUUAUAUUAUAAUUAUAUUUAUAAUAUAAUAUAAUAUUUAACUACAUUAACUUAAUAUAUAUUAUGUUAUAUUUAAAUAUAUAUAAUGUACUUAGUUAUAUUAUAAAAGUAAUGCUAGUAAUUAUAAAAGUAAUCUUGGUACAUAUAUGAUGACAUCCCAGAGUGCAGACAUGGUUCUCACUGAGUCCCAGGAGUAAUCUAGAAGGGCUUGGGCUUGGGUUAUCCAUCUGUUUAACUUGGGUAAAAGUAGAAAUAUUUUACCAACCGAAGAGAUCUUUUUAUGUUCUUGUCUGAUAAAUUUAAACAGUUGUUAUCCAAAUUGAUGCAUGUGAGCUGAGUUCUUGAGGUGAUAACUUAAAAUGUACACUCUUGGGGCGCCUGGGUGGCUCAGUCAGUUGGGCGCCCUACUUCAGCUCAGGUCACGAUCUCGCCGUUUGUGAGUUCGCGCCUCGCGUCAGGCUCUGAGCCUGAAACCUGCUUCGGAUUUGUUUUUAAUAUUUGAUUUGGUUUUGAAUUUAUGGAAAUACUUUGCUUGUCAGUUUUUUUUUAAAUAGUCAUAUGGUGUUUCAAAAUUGUAUCACAACUGUGAUUGAUCUUCAACCUUAGAAGCUAAAAAUGGAUAUAGAAGGAUGAUCACAAGUAGGUAAAAUGGUAAAUUUUGGUAUUAGUGUGUUUGGACAUCAGGGCUCUCAUCAAAACACAAAAUGCAACCAGUUUGGUAAAAUUGAAGGUCAUCUGGCAUUAUUUAGAAAAUAUGACUUGCUAGUGGUUUAACAUUUGUAGAGUAGUUUUAUUCCCAAGCACUUUGUUUUCAUAGAUUCAAGUUUGUUUUUUCCCCAUACGACUUCAUGAGUUAUAUCAGUUUGCUCUACUAUUUUUCUUUGAAGGGAACUGAGACCUAUUUGGUUGUAUAAGGUGAUGAGCGACAUUGCUCAAAAAGCUAAAAAUAGAUUUGUGGGCUCCUGACUGUGAAAGCAGGUGCUCUCUGCUGAGUUAUUCUGCUUUCUUGCUGAAGAAAUAUUAACAUACAAUGACUGUGGCAUGGAUCCUAGUUAGGUCCAUAAAAAUGUACUUCCUCACCAAACCAAAUCCACCAUCCAAAGAAACAAAACCUUUCUUGAGAUACUGGUGUUGAAGAUCGCCUCCUCCUGCCAGCUGAGUGUGUUCUCAUUGUCCCCCACAUCUGCCCCAUCAUGUCUGAUGCUCGUACCAGGUUCUUGUCACCAUAUGCUUGGAACACUACAAUAAUUAAUCUCCUUGCCCCGUCCUCUUCCUUGCCCCCCAAUCCUUUUCAGAUAGUUUUCAGAUUAAUACCAUUAUUACACUAUUUUAAACAUUUUUUCACUCAACGGUUCCAUGAUGAUCUUUGCUUUUAGGCUGGAGCCCUGACCUUCAUCUUGGUUUUCAGGAUACCUCCCAUCUCUCCUUGAUGUCUGUCUAGGAUCCUUUCCUCCUUCUCGCCAAUCCCUGUUGUAGCCAGCUUGGGCCUUGCAGACCGCAGUCACUUUACCAUCCUUACUGGCAUCCCUGUGGUUUUGUAUGUUGUGCCCUACUCUAGAAAUGCUCUUCCUUUCCUUUAGCAAGCCCAGCCCUUCUCGUGGGUGCUUGAUUUGAUUAUAAGGUAUGCUGUAUUCUUUAGAUCAUAAGACUCUUCUGUGGGCUUACUAGAUGUCUUGAUUCAGAAAAUAGGAUCACUGCCUAGUAUGAGAUGUGGCAUAAAGUUUUUCUUAAAUCAUAUUGUCAGAAUGUUGCUGAGAUUCUAUUAUGAUUAGUAAACAAUUAAAUUAAUAUUUUAAUGGUUUACUGCUUUCUUCUAUGUUUACCUGAAGCAAUGUCACUGUAGAUUUGGCUGUAAGGAAAUGUUUACAUUUUGUCAAAGAUUUUGAGAAAUGUAGGGGCGCCUGGGUGGCUCAGUCAGUUAAGCGGCCGACUUUGGCUCAGGUCAUGAUCUCGCGGUCCGUGGGUUCGAGCCCUGCGUUGGGCUCUGUGCUGACCGCUCAGAGCCUGGAGCCCGUUUCGGAUUCUGUGUCUCCCUCUCUCUGACCCUUCCCCGUUCAUGCUCUGUCUCUCUCUGUCUCAAAAAUAAAUAAACGUUAAAAAAAAAAAAAAGAUUUUGAGAAAUGUAAAGUGACUUUGCUUUGAGAACAUGAAAUUAAAUCCAAUUACUUAUAGAAGAGGAAUAUUACAAAUAUAUUUGUAUAUUUAUAAUUUAGAUUUCAUGAAGUCAUUUUCAUGAUUGCAUUGAUAAAAAACAAAAGAAAACAAAACUCAGUCAUUUUGUAUAGGGUGCUUAAAUUUUAUGUGGAACUUUUUUUUCAUCUAUCUAUUUUUGUUUUUAAUUAAAAAUAUUUUUUAAUGUUUAUUUUUGAGAGAGAGAGAGAGAAGACAGAGCACAACUGGGGGAGGGGUGGGGAGAAAGGGAGACACAGAAUCUGAAGCAGGCUCCAGGCUCUGAGCUGUCAGCACAGAGCCCGAUGUGGGGCUUGAACUCACGAACCGCAAGAUCAUGACCUGAGCCCAAGUCGGACGCUUAACUGAUGGAACCACCCAGGUGCCCCUCUAUCUAUCUAUUUUUAAAGUAAGCUCUACACCCAACAUGGGACUUGAACUCAUGACCCUAAGAUCAAGAGUCAGUAUGCUAUACCGACCGAGCUUAGUAUGGAACUUUUGGUGUACAUAGUACUUAUGAGAAGUUUUUUGUUUUAGUUUUGAGUUUGGGAGAAAGUAGUUGGAGAGAAAAUUAAGGUAACUCUAACAAAUUUUAAUAUAGUCAGUAAAUUUUUCAUGAGAAUAAUAAAGCGUAUUUUGUGUGUGUAUAUGGAGAAAUAUAUUUAACAGCGAGCAGAGAAACUAGGGAGAAGCAUACUAGUUUGAUUAAAUUUUCGUAAACAUUAAUAUUAUCUAGGAGAAAGAUAGUUUUUCAAAGGAUAUAUUCCUUAUGUUCACCCAUCAUUAAUUUUAGUAUGUUGAAUUUAAUUUUGAGCUUAUUAAUUAGAGUAUUAAUGUACUUCCAAGAUAAAUUAAAUUUUAAUUUUCAAGUUUUUUUCUCUUGGUGGUCCAAUUUUACUGGUCUAGAAUUUGUGGUAUUAAAAAUAAGAUAUCUUUAUUUUUUUGAAUAGAGUUUAGGAAAUCUUAGUUUUUAUGAAAUUACAUUAUAAUAGAAAUGAAUGAUUAAAAAUUCUUAUAGAGUUUGUUAGAGAAUCUUAUUGUUAUAGGAUUUGAAGAGACUGUGUGGUUUAAAGAUUGAAAGGUAGAUUCAUAAAAUAUCACUUAAAGUCGUAAACAACACUUUCAAUUUAGGAAAGAAAGAUUUCAUCUGCAUACAAAGCUGCAUUAAUAGAUAUUAGAAUAAAUCAAUUAAAACAUACUUUUUUAUAAUGUGGUAAGGAAAAACUAACAUAAACCAAACAAUGCAUAACAUUAGUGAACAUUCUUCUAUGAAGUUAAAUGCUUUUGAUUUAAGACCUGGAAGGUGCUUAAGUCUUCAUUGAAAUCUUCAUAUUUAUUCUCACCUUGUCUUUUUUAUUUUAAGGUGAGAGCUCUCAGUAUUAACAUCCACACUCACUUUGUGCUGAUAUUUAGCCAAAACCUAACAUAAAAUCAGCAUGUAUUUGCUGGUAGAUUCUCUGAAAUUCUUCACCACAUAUUUCAUGUUAGAGUCAUCCGUGCUCCAUAGUUCAUGAGUUUUUAUGGCACUGGAACUUCCCUGUUUAGAUAUAGUCUCUGGUUGUAUAGGUAGGUUUAUUUGCUGCUCUAAUAUUUUUCCUUUAAAUUUUAUCACUGUUUCCUCUUCUUAUUUAGGUGGUGUUUCAUCUCUGUCACUAGGAAAUUUCUAUUGAUUUAUUCUGUUUACGUUGUUUUUCCUUUCAAAUUCAUCGUUUGCACUAUGGGAAACUUUGAUUAUUUUUAAAAAGGUCAUCUUUACAUUGUUUGGGUCAAGCCAGGUUUGGUGGAGGGAGAGGACAGUGGCCAUCCAUUGUCCACCCAUCUCCCACUCACAGCUUUGUGCAAGAGGAAAGAUGAGAGAGAAAAAGAGGGAUCCCCCAUUCAGUCUACGUUUAGAAACAUGGAACGGAAUAAAUAUCAUGAAGAAAAUCCAGGCCUAACUUGGUUAUACCUCAGGAAGUAAUUCAUGGGCAUCUAAAAUAGUCUGCCAAGGUUUCCAUUAUUUUUACUUAAUUAACUCAAAGCAUGCUUAGUAAGAGCCUAUAAUCUUGAAAAGCAUUUCUUGUUUUGAUCUGACCGAAAGGUUUUUUGUUGUUGCUGAUUUUUGCUGAUCAUAGCCUACUUUAAUACGAUGCAAAGCAUCAGAAUUAACAAGGUACAAAUUGACUCAGUAAACCUGCCAUACUAGGGAAUAGACAAAUCUGAGGAAGGAUGUAGAAUAUGGAAUGAAAGAUUAUUCAGCUUUUUAAAACAACAAAUAACCAAAUAUUUUGCUUUUGAGCUGGUUGUUUUUCACUGUUUUGAUCAAGAAAAUGUAAUAUCCCUUGCUGUUACAGGUUUUGCUGGAGCUAAUGGGUUUUUGUAGUGAACAAAUUCAUACGUCUACUCAAAGUAUCUUUACUGAAGUAUUGAAGAAGGGAAAUAAAAUGGUUCAUGGGGUGAAGAAAUGGUCAAGAGGGAAAGUGUCUUUCCUGGCACUGUUUCUCAUGGAAAAAUAUAUUCUGCAGUUUGGGAUUCAAAUUUGUUACUACCAAAACUCCAGGAAUAAUUUACCACCAAGAGCAUCCAGUCUAAAGAAAAUUAAUACCAUCUGUAUAAAGACUCAGUGAUAUUAUGGCAUCAAAUGAAUGUGCUUCAUAUAACUCUAUCAUCUUUUUAUUUAGAGGAGAAGCCCAAAUUGUUAAUGAUGAAUGUUGGAGUUAUUUUGAUGCAAAUUACUUAAAGAGACUUAAAAUGUAAAUAUGUUUUCAACAGAAUUUUGAAGGAUGAAAGAUAAAGAUAGUUAAAAUACUUGAUUUUUCCUCAUUGGUGUUCAAGUCUGUAUGGUAAAUUAUAUCUUAGGCCCUCUUCUCUCUUUUGUGAUAUUAGCCAUGUGUCAUCCUGUACCUCAAAGGGUAAAGGAGCAACUUGUGUGUUCUUUAUCUCCUCCUUCCCCUUGCCUGUGUUCUUUGUCUUAUGAGCUCCUUGGAGACUCAUAGUUUCCUUAGUAGGUUGCCUGGCAGUGACUGGAGAAUGAGAUAGCUAUGCUAUAAAAGGCUCUUCCUUCCCUGGCCUGGCCUUUUCCUGGUACUUAGCCCUUUUCUGUCCUUCGUAAUGCGGAUGUGCAUAGGAUACGGUCCCAUUUUGUUAAGGACAUACAUCCUCCAUGUGCUAGUGGAUUGAUCUUCCUUUCAGUUGGGUCAGGUCUGAAGGGUCUUUUUAACCUUCUGUUAUCUGGCCACCUAGCAAAUAAAUAUAAGAAUUAGUCCUAUAACUAUACUCAGCAGUAAUCAAGAUUUUUAGUUUUUUUGGUUGUGUUUUUGGCCCAAACAUGCUUUUGUGGUUAUCUACUAUAUCUAACUGUAUAACAAACUGCCUUAAACCUAGUGGCAUGAACAGUAACCCUUUUAUUAUGAUCAUGGAUUCUUUGGGUCAGCAGUUUGGGCAAGACACAUCUAGGGUGUCUGUCUUUGCUCACCAAUGUCUGGGCCUCAACUGGGAAGACUUGAAUGGCUGGGUAAUUCAAACAGUUGGGGCUCCCCUUCCUAGUUGGCUUACUCACACCCAUAUUGAGCACCUUGGUGUGGGUAAUGGGAAAAUUGGGCUCAGCCGAGUGCCUGUGUGUGGCCUUUCCAAUGUGAUGGUCUUAGGUGGUUGAAUAAGCCUUUCAAGAGAACCAGGUGGAGCCUUCGUGGCCUCUGUGACCUAGCCCCAGAGGUCACACUGAGUCACUUCUGUUGCAUUCUUCUAGUUACAAGUGAAUCAUUGGCCAGCCCAGAUGCAGGGAGAGGGGAAUGAGACCCUACUUUUUGAUGGGACAGUGCAAGGUCACAUGGAAAAAGACCAUCUAGCAUGAGGGACAUUGUAGCAGUCAUCUUGGAAAUUUAUGCAGAAGAGGAAACGACAUCUUGAUAUUUUGAUUCUACAAUGCCAGAUUUUUAUUCUGUGAAUCAUUCAAAUGUCUUGUAAAAAAUUUAGUAUUAUGUAGAAAAGACUUUAGAUGAUUGCCUGAUUAUUCCCCUUUUAACCUGCUUGUGUUGCUAUCUGACUUUUUAUAUGACUUUUGUAUAACUGAAGAAUCAAAGGACGACUGUUCAACAGUCUCAUACCCUUAAUCUGAGAGGCUAAAGUUAAGACUGUAAGAUUGUGCUAGUUUAUUACAAGGAGGAGCAAAUUGUCACCAUGAACUUUGCAAUCAACAAGGCAUUUAAACCAGGAAGAUAAAAGAAGAGACAUGUUAAAAUAAUGCAAUUUUUGUGUGUGCGGAAAGUAGUCUUUUAGAUAAUGUGUGAAAACUCCCCUUAAUGCUAGUGACUAUGCUGAUUCCACAUAGUAUGCCCCAGAGGGCCACACGUUGGGGUUUUAGCACUGGCUUUCCAUCACCUUAAUAGUGAGGGUAAUGGGGCAGCAUCAUGUGUUCCACCGAGUGCUGAGUUAUCAUGACCUUCUGUGUUGGAGGAAAGAACGUUAAUGUGACAACCUGGGAAGUUACUUCACCUCACUAGGUCUAGAUUUCAUAUCUGUAAAGUGUGGGGUUGAAAUCUCUCCUGGCUAUAUAAUGCUUUGAGUUUAUUGUUCUUGCACUUACCUGGGACUGGAAUAAGGCAGUCAUAUGGCAGCUCAAAGUUAAUAUUAAAUUUGGAAGUACAAGGGUCAUUCAGUUAAGUUUUAGAAAGUUAUUAAAUUAUAAUCACCUGGCAACAUUUAUACACCUGUAUUAAAUAAUCCCAAAGGUGAAAUAGAAAUACUGGAAGAAAACUCUGGAUUAGGUAAAUUUUUUAAAAAGAUGUGGGCAUCAUUCUUAAAUUUACAGUAUUUAUAAAUCAUAAUACUUAGUAUGAAAUAUCGUAGGUAAAAUUUUUAGUUUUAUUCCUUUGAGUCAAAAACCUGAAUUUACUCAUUCAGAGCCUGAAUUUAAAUUACUAAAUAACACUUUAAUAAGAGAUGGUACAAUAGAGAUUCUGGGGCUUUGUUCCUUAAGUUUUUAAAUUUAUUAAAAUAACGUUCAUCCCACCUUUUUGUAAUCCACCGCAUAUAUAGUUAUGUCCUUCUUUUCAUUACUAGUGUUUUUUAUUUGUCCUUUCUUUUUUCUAAAUUAGGCUUGCCAUGGAUUAUCAAUUUCAUAAUCUUUUUUUUUUUUAUGUUUGCUUGUUUUAGAGAGAGAGAGAGAGAGAGAGAGAGACAGAGUGCGAGAGCGGAGGGGCAGAGAGAGAGGGAGACACAGAAUCUGAAGCAGGCUCCAGGCUGGGAGCUGUCAGCACAGAGCCCAGUGUGGGGCUUGAGCCCAUAAACUGCGAGAUCAUGACCUGGGCUGAAGUCAAAAGCUUAACUGACUGAGCCACCUGGCACCCCAGUUUCAUAAUCUUUUUAAACAAGGCUUAUUGAUCUUCUCUGUUGCUCUGUUGUUACCCUUUCGUUUUAUUAGUUUCUGGUUUUAUCUUUAUUUCUUUUAUCCUUAUUUCUUUUUCUUCUCUUUUUUGAUUUUUCUUUUCUUUUCUUUUCUUUUUUUUUUUUUUUACUUUUAAAGUUGUAUGCUUAGCUCCUUAAUAUUUUAGUCUUCCUUUAUGUUAUUCAUUCUGUGGUUUGUAUAGUUGGCUUAUAAAAAAUACAUGCUUUUUCUGACUGACCUUUUUGGAGUCAGGUUGAGCAGGCGUCUGUCUUCCUGGAGAUGCUUCCUCCUGGAGAUGCUUCCCCCAGAGUGAGGGAAGAGUGAGGAAGAGUUACCUCAAGUAGCAGUGCAUGAAUAAAUGUUCUUCCCUGGGAAUCCUCACUGCAAAGAUUCUGUGAAUAUGGACUUCAGAAUGGUAUUUUCUGGAAGCUGUGGCAGAAGAAUAGACAAAACAAUUGGAAAUACAUUCAGGCAUAUUAUGAAAUAAAUAAUACCCAUAUGUGCCACCUAUAUGGCAUCAGUCUAAAAUUUAGUCACCAGAAAUGGAAUCACCAGAACCCAGUUUUUUCCCCCCUCACUGCCUCUGAGAGUGAAAAAAAAUCAGUGAGACAAAGAGCCUAUGUGUUUUAAACAAACUGAAAUAAUUUGUCCAUAAUGUUUUGUUAAUGGUACUGUUUAUAAUUUAGUUACUUUAUUACCUGAAAAAACAUCUACCAACAAUAGCAUGUAAAUGUGACAACAGAUUCUUGAGUCACUUGAUUAUGGAUUCCAGAUUCUUCAGUCUUUUUAUUUAGAAGACCAGUGGCUUUAGAAUAUCAUUUAACUUUUUUUUAAGUGUUUAUUUAUUAUUUUUUAAAAAUGUUUAUUUAUUUGUGUGAGAGUGAAUGAGUGCGGGCAUGCGUGUGUGCAUAUGAAUGGGGGAGGGGCAGAGAGAGAAGGAGAAAGAAUUCCAAGCAGGCUCUGUAGAGCCCAGUGCAGGGCUCUAUCUCUUGGGAGAUCAUGAUCUGAGCCUAAAUUGAGAGACAUUUAACUGACUGAGCCACCCAGGUGCCUCUCAUUUAACUUUUUAAAAUGGCAUCUAUUAGAUAUAUUGUUAAUCCUUGAAUGUUUUUCUCCUUUUAUAGAUGAAUAAGAGAUAGCAUUGUAUUAACUCCUAGAAUAUUCCACAUAUAUAUGUUGAUUUUAUUAUUUAAUAUGAUUAUAUGGUAAACUUCUAUUUAUUUAUUGAGGCAGUGAACAACUGGAAAGAUGAACCAAAAGUUUAAAAAUUAGA